CUCGUAGGCGGUUUGGUAAGUCGGGUGUGAAAUCUCCACGCUCAACGUGGAGGGGCCACUCGAUACUGCCAUGACUGGAGUCCGGUAGAGGAGUGUGGAAUUCCCGGUGUAGCGGUGAAAUGCGCAGAUAUCGGGAGGAACACCCGUAGCGAAGGCGGCACUCUGGGCCGGAACUGACGCUGAGGAGCGAAAGCGUGGGGAGCAAACA
rnacentral:rRNA from 1 species